UCGGUUUGGUGCUUGUGACCCAUCUUUAUAGUAGUUGCUGUAGAGAGACAGAGACAGAGAGAUUUCCACGGCGAUCAAACCGAUUGGCGGCGCGGUGAAGGGGGUGAGGCGGAGAUGACGCUGAAGAGCGGGGGCGAUAAGGAGUUCGAGGGUGGGGCGAUAAGAACCAUGGAGUCACGGGUCAUCCUCACUUGAUCGUGGACGGCUUCGCCGAGAGCGGCUGCCCCCUCCGCAUUGUCACCUCCCGGAUUCUUGCCAAGGUCAUUAAUUACCGCAACUAGCACGUCACCGCCACCUCCGCCGAGGCCGACUCCAGCGAGGAUGGAGCCGUCGCAGACCUAGCGAUGGCGCGUUCGUCGAGGUCGAUAGGGCCAUCCUCUACGAAGAUGGUCCAAUUCAUAUUGGUGCUUUGUCGUCUUGCUCCUCCACAACGUCACCACCGCCUCCGCCGAGGAUGGAGCGAGGCCUAGGAUGGCGCGUUCGACGAGGUCGAUCGGGCCACCCUCUAUGGUACGAAUCUUGGCUCGAUUCUCUCCCUUUUCAGUCCCUUUUGAGGUUGUCUUUGGUUGUGUUCCUGCGUUCUUUGGUAGUCUUAUCAAGUGGUUCUUGAGAUGCUGGUCCGUUUUCUUUAUAAUUUUCAAUAGGUAUUGAUUCCCCUUCGCCUCUGAUCAUGUGGUAGUUCUUGUUUCUUUUUCCUUAAUAGUUCUUGAUUUGACGGCAGAUUUUGGUUCUUUUCCUUUAUGCUUCUUGAUCUGACGAUGGGUCUUGUUUCUUCUUUAUGCUUCUUGGUUUUGCAUAAGAUGGUCGGAUUCAUAUUGAUG